ACACCAGCUUCCCCUGCAAUAGCCUUGGCAAGCAAAGUCUUACCAGUUCCAGGAGGACCAACAAGCAGAACACCCUUAGGGAUGCGAGCACCAACAGCGGUGAACCUUUCUGGUUUCUUCAAGAACUCAACCACUUCCAUGAAGUCUUGCUUUGCUUCAUCGACACCAGCAACAUCAUCAAAUGUAACACCAGUGUUGGGUUCCAUCUGAAACUUGGCCCUAGAUUGACCAAAACCAAGGGGAAAGCCAGGACCGUUAGGUCCACCAAGGCCACCUUGUGCUCUUCUUGACAGCAAAAAUAGACCACCAAUAAGGAUAAGUGGGAAAGCCAAGUUUCCGAUCAGGUUGAACAGAAGAGAACCAGAGUCCUCCUGGUUGCUGUGUGCAGCAAAAUCGAUAUUCUUUUCCCUCAACUUCUGGAGAAGCUCCUGGCUUAGACCAGGAAGCUGCACACGAACUCUCUGCACACGGUUGCCGAGCUCAGGAGAAAUAGCCUCUACAAUGGCAAUCGUGCCAUUCUCAAACAAAU
rnacentral:lncRNA from 1 species